rnacentral:rRNA from 1 species
AUGUUGAAGCAAGCAUUCUCUCAGUCAUUGGAAUUAUGGCAUAUUACUGUUCUUGGUAGUACUUUGAAGACAAGUACAAUUACUCGUCCUCUAGUCUUGCUUCAUUGGGAUCCAGGUGUGGGCUUCAUAAAUGACAGUUGGCUAUGCUGGAAAUAUUUCUCCUUGAAAGACAAUUUCAGCUGGCCUCAGUUUGUUACAAGAAAUUUGUGUGUAACAUCACAAUGGAACCAUGGUCUGCUCAGCUUGAUCACUCUUGCAGGGUGGGAGUUCACAAGUAGAUACAUGUCGAUUACCUACAGUAAGCUUGUUCAGGUUACUGGUCUCUCUCUUCACCUUAUAAUCCACCUGCCACAACUGAUUGUAUAUGGACCAAUGACAGGGGAAAAAUAG